rnacentral:rRNA from 1 species
CAUGGGGGAGCGAAACAGGAUUAGAUACCCUGGUAGUCCAUGCCGUAAACGUUGGGCACUAGGUGUGGGGGACAUUCCACGUUUUCCGCGCCGUAGCUAACGCAUUAAGUGCCCCGCCUGGGGAGUACGGCCGCAAGGCUAAAACUCAAAGGAAUUGACGGGGGCCCGCACAAGCGGCGGAGCAUGCGGAUUAAUUCGAUGCAACGCGAAGAACCUUACCAAGGCUUGACAUGUGCCAGACCGCUCCAGAGAUGGGGUUUCCCUUCGGGGCUGGUUCACAGGUGGUGCAUGGUUGUCGUCAGCUCGUGUCGUGAGAUGUUGGGUUAAGUCCCGCAACGAGCGCAACCCUCGUUCCAUGUUGCCAGCACGUAGUGGUGGGGACUCAUGGGAGACUGCCGGGGUCAACUCGGAGGAAGGUGGGGAUGACGUCAAAUCAUCAUGCCCCUUAUGUCUUGGGCUUCACGCAUGCUACAAUGGCCGGUACAAUGGGUUGCGAUACUGUGAGGUGGAGCUAAUCCCUAAAAGCCGGUCUCAGUUCGGAUUGGGGUCUGCAACUCGACCCCAUGAAGUCGGAGUCGCUAGUAAUCGCAGAUCAGCAACGCUGCGGUGAAUACGUUCCCGGGCCUUGUACACACCGCCCGUCAAGUCACGAAAGUUGGUAACACCCGAAGCCGAUGGCCUAACCACC